rnacentral:rRNA from 1 species
GUAACAAGGUUUCCGUAGGUGAACCUGCGGAAGGAUCAUUACUGAUUUGCUUAAUUGCACCACAUGUGUUUUUCUUUGAAACAAACUUGCUUUGGCGGUGGGCCCAGCCUGCCGCCAGAGGUCUAAACUUACAACCAAUUUUUUAUCAACUUGUCACACCAGAUUAUUACUAAUAGUCAAAACUUUCAACAACGGAUCUCUUGGUUCUCGCAUCGAUGAAGAACGCAGCGAAAUGCGAUACGUAAUAUGAAUUGCAGAUAUUCGUGAAUCAUCGAAUCUUUGAACGCACAUUGCGCCCUCUGGUAUUCCGGAGGGCAUGCCUGUUUGAGCGUCGUUUCUCCCUCAAACCGCUGGGUUUGGUGUUGAGCAAUACGACUUGGGUUUGCUUGAAAGACGGUAGUGGUAAGGCGGGAUCGCUUUGACAAUGGCUUAGGUCUAACCAAAAACAUUGCUUGCGGCGGUAACGUCCACCACGUAUAUCUUCAAACUUUGACCUCAAAUCAGGUAGGACUACCCGCUGAACUUAAGCAUAUCAAU